rnacentral:rRNA from 1 species
GAGAUUAUUGGGCCUAAGCAUCCGCUAGCUCGUUUUGUAAGUUUUCGGUUAAAUCCAUGCGCUUAACGUAUGGGCUGCCGGGAAUACUGCAUAACUAGGAAGUGGGAGAGGUAGACGGUACUCGGUAGGAAGGGGUAAAAUCCUUUGAUCUAUUGAUGACCACCUGUGGCGAAGGCGGUCUACCAGAACACGUUCGACGGUGAGGGAUGAAAGCUGGGGGAGCAAACCGGAUUAGAUACCCGGGUAGUCCCAGCUGUAAACUAUGCAAACUCAGUGAUGCAUUGGCUUGUGGCCAAUGCAGUGCUGCAGGGAAGCCGUUAAGUUUGCCGCCUGGGAAGUACGUACGCAAGUAUGAAACUUAAAGGAAUUGGCGGGGGAGCACA